AGUGAACGCUGGCGGUAGGCCUAACACAUGCAUGUCGAACGGCAGCACAGUAAGAGCUUGCUCUUACGAGUGGCGAGUGGCGGACGGGUGAGGAAUACAUCGGAAUCUACUUUUUCGUGGGGGAUAACGUAGGGAAACUUACGCUAAUACCGCAUACGACCUACGGGUGAAAGCAGGGGAUCUUCGGACCUUGCGCGAUUGAAUGAGCCGAUGUCGGAUUAGCUAGUUGGCGGGGUAAAGGCCCACCAAGGCGACGAUCCGUAGCUGGUCUGAGAGGAUGAUCAGCCACACUGGAACUGAGACACGGUCCAGACUCCUACGGGAGGCAGCAGUGGGGAAUAUUGGACAAUGGGCGCAAGCCUGAUCCAGCCAUACCGCGUGGGUGAAGAAGGCCUUCGGGUUGUAAAGCCCUUUUGUUGGGAAAGAAAAGCAGCAGGUUAAUACCCCGCUGUUCUGACGGUACCCAAAGAAUAAGCACCGGCUAACUUCGUG
rnacentral:rRNA from 1 species